rfam:Aedes albopictus isolate Foshan contig105697, whole genome shotgun sequence.
UAGCCUAGUGGAUAAGGCUAUGGAUCGCCAAUCCAGAGACGGCGGGUUCGAUUCCCGU